CGUCCCCUGGGGUCCCCUCCGCCUCUCCGCGCCGCGCGAGCACCACAGGACGUCGAUGGCCUUGGGGCCCCUGCUGAUACUCAAGCUGCCACCCUAAGACUGGCAGCGGAGAAGGCUCGGAGGUCGCUGGCAGAGACCGGUCGGCUCAAGUGGGUGGCCUCGGGUGAAGCGGAAGGACAGCGUCCUGGCGGGGCGCAGCCAGGGUCGUGGCCAGACUCCAGCUCCCCGCCCGGGGAACGAAGCCGGCGACGUUGUGGAAUGGUCCGGCGAGAAACGAGGAGGGUCCGGAGCGCACCGGCCACCCACCGGCGCCGAGGCUCGAGGCUCGGAGUCCUGCUCCUUGAGCAGCGCUGCGCAGCCUGCAGCAGACUGUACAGCACCUCCGGGCAUCACCUGGGGCUUCCUUGGCCUUUCUGUGACACUACAAGGACCCUUUCGGGGUGCUGAAGGUGCGACCCUUGAGUAUCUGACCGGGGCAGUGAGACGAUGCCAGACGUUUCUGUGUAGGACAUAGGGUCAUGUGUUUCAUCUUAUUGAACUUUGUAAUAAGUGUGCUAUCUGGAGCACAUAUUAAUUUCACGGUGAAUAACACAAAUGGAGAAGAAAUCAAACGGAAUGAAUUUACAAUUGUGUGUUUGAAUGCAAUUUCAAAAGCAACCAUACUGUUUUCUAGUCCUUAUGGUUUCCUAUGAAGUGCAAAAUGCUCUUAAAGCAGCUCCCAGGGACUCCUGGUUGGCCCCGUAGCGUAGCGUUGUUCAAGUUGGUUACUUGGAAACAGUGAGAAAACCUGGGCUGGUUAAUCUGUGCACGAAGUGACACAUCUCCCUCUAGUGAGAAACAACACUGGAGAGAACCAUUUUUCUUGUGCAUCUUGCGUUUUAAAUUGCAACUGAGAAGUUCUAUGUGUGGUUGAUGCCAGC
rnacentral:lncRNA from 1 species